GGUGGCUCAGUGGUAGAGUGCUUGCCUUGCAUGCAUGAGGCCCUGGGUUUGAUUCUUAAGCACCA
rnacentral:tRNA from 1 species